rnacentral:rRNA from 1 species
UGGGGAAUAUUGGACAAUGGGGGGAACCCUGAUCCAGCAAUGCCGCGUGUGUGAAGAAGGCCUGAGGGUUGUAAAGCACUUUCAGUGGGGAGGAGGAUGCUUAGGUUAAGAGCUAGAGUAUUGGACGUUACCCACAGAAGAAGCACCGGCUAACUCCGUGCCAGCAGCCGCGGUAAUACGGAGGGUGCGAGCGUUAAUCGGAAUUACUGGGCGUAAAGGGUGCGUAGGUGGUUGAUUAAGUUAUCUGUGAAAUCCCCGGGCUCAACCUGGGCAGGUCAGAUAAUACUGAUUGACUCGAGUAUAGGAGAGGGUAGUGGAAUUUCCGGUGUAGCGGUGAAAUGCGUAGAGAUCGGAAGGAACACCAGUGGCGAAGGCGGCUACCUGGCCUAAUACUGACACUGAGGCACGAAAGCGUGGGGAGCAAACA